AGUCGUACGGAAGUUUUUAACUUUAGUGGCGGACGGGUGAGUAACACGUAAGAAUUUACCUUUAGGAGGGGGACAACAGCUGGAAACGGCUGCUAAUACCCCAUAUGCUUUCGAGUGAAAUGGAAUUUUCCGCCUAGAGAGAAGCUUGCGGCUGAUUAGCUUGUUGGUGGGGUAAUGGCCUACCAAGGCGACGAUCAGUAUCUGGUUUGAGAGGACGAUCAGACACACUGGAACUGAGACACGGUCCAGACUCCUACGGGAGGCAGCAGUGGGGAAUUUUCCGCAAUGGGCGAAAGCCUGACGGAGCAAUACCGCGUGAGGGAUGACGGCCUAUGGGUUGUAAACCUCUUUUUUCAGGGAGGAAUCAAUGACGUGUACCUGAAGAAUAAGCAUCGGCUAACUCCGUGCCAGCAGCCGCGGUAAGACGGAGGAUGCAAGUGUUAUCCGGAAUCACUGGGCGUAAAGCGUCUGUAGGUGGUUUAAUAAGUCAACUGUUAAAUCUUGAGGCUCAACUUCAAAACCGCAGUCGAAACUAUUAGACUAGAGUAUAGUAGGGGUAAAGGGAAUUUCCAGUGGAGCGGUGAAAUGCGUAGAGAUUGGAAAGAACGCCGAUGGCGAAGGCACUUUACUGGGCUAUUACUGACACUCAGAGACGAAAGCUAGGGCAGCAAAUGGGAUUAGAUACCCCAGUAGUCCUAGCCGUAAACAAUGGAUACUAGAUGUUGAACAGAUCGACCUGUGCAGUAUUAAAGCUAACGCGUUAAGUAUCCCGCCUGGGAAGUAUGCACGCAAGUGUGAAACUCAAAGGAAUUGACGGGGGCCCGCACAGCGUGGAGCAUGUGGUUUAAUUCGAUGCACGCGAGAUCUACAGGUUUGACAUGAUACGGAUUUCUUUGAAAGAAGAAAGUGCCUUUUGGAACGUAUACACAGUG
rnacentral:rRNA from 1 species